rnacentral:lncRNA from 1 species
CUAUAAUUUGGAACUUCAACGCCUAAACGCAUGCUUAUGUGUAAGAAAUUUAAAGUGUCAAAUUCGGCACAUUAUUCUUCAUCAUUUUAUUCACUUCUCUUUUUUUUUUUUAAUAUCCUAAAUAAAACCUCCAAAUAUUGUAAUAAUUCAUUAUAUAUAAAUGAUUAUGGUGUGUUUAGACUUCUUUCAUUAAUUACUACAUAUUUUCUACACUCACAAUGUUUGUCAGCUCGCUAUAUAAUCAACUUGAUAAUGUUAAAUCCAUCAUGCAAUGCAUUUCUUUCCAAUUGUUUGUGAUAAACUAAUAGAUAAUUGACUAAAUAAACAUCCUACAAAGUUUCAAUAAAAAUUUCCAAGUUUUUCUUACAAUUUUCAUGGUUUCCAUGUAAUUUUUAUCGAUAUUGAUAUUUUACCGAUAUUUCCAUCGAUAUUUCCGUAUUUUUGGACUACCGAUAUUUCCGAUAUUACCGAUAUUUUCUUCCUUGAUGAUAACCCAUGUGGUAAAAGAACUUGGAUUUAAGCCUUUGUGGUGAAGUCAGUUAGGAUUUAGGCCCGAAAUUAAAAAUUCUGUAAACCAUCCAUUAAUUAUUAGUACGUGAGGCACACACAUUAGGCUAAAAUGGAACUCUCCGUUUACUGUUAGCAUGUGGGGCUUACAUGUGAAGCUAACUUUAUCUUUUUAGUCUCACUGUGAGCCUCAUGUGCUAACAAUUAACGGAGAGUUGAUAAAAUUUUCAAUUUUGGGCCUAAAUCCUAAUGGACUUCACCACAUGGGCUUAAAUCCUAGUUUGUUUAACGUAACGGCUAUCUUCCAACUACCCUAUCACCACGGGAAGUAUUAAAUCAAUUAAGCCUUUUCUCCUUUUGUCUUAAUCAUUAACUAGUGAAUUUCUUCAUAUUAAAUACUAGGGUAAUGCUAGAGAGACUAAAUUUUUCUACAAAAUUUUGUAAACC